rnacentral:rRNA from 1 species
CCUACGGGUGGCAGCAGUAGGGAAUCUUUCACAAUGGACGAAAGCCUGAUGGAGCAACGCCGCGUGCAGGAUGAAGGCCUUCGGGUUGUAAACUGCUUUUAUAAGCGAGAAAUAUGAUGGUAACUUAUGAAUAAGGAUCGGCUAACUACGUGCCAGCAGCCGCGGUCAUACGUAGGAUCCGAGCAUUAUCCGGAGUGACUGGGGGUAAAGAGUUGCGUAGGUGGCAUAAUAAGUAGCUAGUGAAAUCUGGUGGCUAAACCAUUCAGACUAUUAGCUAAACUGUUAAGCUCGAGACCGUUAGGGGUAACUGGAAGUUCUAGUGUAGGAGUGAAAUCCGUAGAUAUUAGAAGGAACACCAAUAGCGUAGGCAGGUUGCUGGGACGGUUCUGACACUAAGGCACGAAAGCGUAGGGAGCAAACGGGAUUAGAUACCCUAGUAGUC